rnacentral:lncRNA from 1 species
AAUGUACCUGGACACUAUUAAUCCCCUCCCUCAUUUGGUUCUUGGAGGGCUAGGGAGGGGAGUUUUUUGUUUGUUUCCUUAGGCGGGAACUGCAAACAGGAACUGGAACAGAGACUACUGUUCGUUCAGUCCACUGGUCUAUGAGGUUUCAAAUGCUUGCCCAGCAUGGUCUCAAAUGUCUAGAUUAAUUUAAUAACUUUUUGAAAUCACAGAGUAGGUUUGCACCAAUGAAACCCAAGAACUCCACAGACACUCACGAGGUUAUAUCCGUUUCUUUGUAUCUAUAUCAACGUAUACUUCUUGAAGACUGUAUACGUGCGUAUAGAUAAGUAGAUAUUAUAUAUAUAUAUAUAUACAUAUAUAUACAUGGAUAUAUAAAGUUCCUUUGCCGGCAUGUUGCCUUGUUUCUGCUUAAAUUGCUCUAUUUUAACUUAUGUCCUAAAAGAAGAAUGUAAUUUGUUUACAAACCUGUAGAUAAUGUCUUUGGCUAUUUGUGUGGUUUAAGGACACUGGUGGCCAAGAUGCUUACAAACAGCUCGGGCCCAACAGACACAUCCCCUGGAUUGCAUCCUUGAAGUUUUACGAUAGCCAUGCUCUGAUUUUUGCCUGCUAUUUCCGUUCAAUAAUGUCACUACUGUGGGAAGCUCAGGCAGAAAGCCAACGGCUCCCAAGGAUCCACCCUGAGGAGCUAAGCAACGCGCUCGCUCACUCCACCGUAGACAAGGGAGAAGAGGAGAGAAGGCUUCCUGGGUUUGCAACACGGCCGUCCAGGUCUGGUGACGUCAACGUCUGUAGUGCACCCGGAGAAGGAAGACUUUUCUCUCAAUGAAACUCGCUUGAGUUUACAGAGAGCAUUUCAGAACUGAGUUGUCUUUGGCACUGUCUGUGAGUCAAGGUAGUGUUCAGAUAUUACAAAUGCUAUUGUGUUGAAUUUUUUUUUUUUUUUAGUUAGUAAUUUAGAAGUUUCUUUUCUUAUAAACGGCAGCAUAGACACUGCUGACAUACUGGAUGAGGGUUGGUACGGCUUGCUGCUUUUGUUUUUUUUUUUUUUCUUUUUGAAGAAGAAUAGCCUUUUUUCUCUGCACUAUUUAGAUCCGAAUGAACCUUAUAAUGUGUACAUUGAGAUGUAUUCAGUGUGAUUUUUAAACCAAAUUGUCUUCCUGUAGUUACAAUAUAUACUGUAGCCUUUUAACAGCAAGUCCUGCUUUCCCAGACAGAAAGCCAUUCUGAUAUCUUCCCAUAUCACAGGUGAGAAAAGGUGGCUAUCCCCUCUCCCAACAAUAACAGCACUAGUUAUCCCACUUAAUAAGAGCUUGUCUGUCGGCCUCUUACUGCUAAGCACUUUGUGGGUCUCAGCUUUUUUUCAUAAAAGAACUUUUGUAUUUAAUACAAAGUUUGCUUUGAGACUUUUCAGCAUACAAUCUUUUUCCAUAAACUUGUACAGUGCAAAAGACAUUUUGAAUACCAUGACCGAUGAUGUCCCGUGCUUCGAGGAAAUCAAACACUUUCCGCCUCACUUGUGAACUCCAUCCUUCACUCUCUCCCUCCUCACAAUCGCUCCUCCUCGCUCUUCAGCCUGGCCCCCCAGCCCUCCUCCAGGCCCAGAGACCUCUUCACUAAACAAGAUGACAGCCACUUGGGAAAAGAGCCAUAGUCAGCUGGGAGGGCCCACGUCUGGAUGGCUGUGAAAAACUUGAGUUCUUGGUUUGGGCUUCAAAGUCUGCCCAUCCCACCUGGCCAUAAUCUUUCUAUAAGGAAGAAUAUCUCUGAAGGAUUCUGAUUGUAUCCAGGAGAGAGAGAGAGCUACCUCUCCAGCAGGUGGACCAGCCCUAGAUGUACUCACUGGAUUCCAGUACAGACACCACCAGAGCCAGUCCAUAGUACCCCUCCAAGGGAGGGAAGGAAACCCGGGGCUGCCUUGGAACAGGAUAGGUUUUUGGUUUGGUUUUGUUGUUGUUGUUGUUGUUGUUGCUGCUGCUGCUGUUGUUGUUUGAUUGGUUUGGGACUUUUGGUGGGGAGUCCUUUGUCACAUUUUUCAUCCUGCCCUCCUUCAUUCAACCAUGCAUCUAUGACCUCAUUCCAUGCCACCAGGGUUCUUGCUCUUAACAAACCGGGGUCCUCGGGCUUUGGAACCAGGCCUCCAGGGCAAAGAGGAAGGGGUUCUCUGAGCAGAGCCAGGUUCUCAGACAGGAGCAGAGGAAACUAGCAAGGAGGCCUGACAUUAGUGCUGGCUUCCCGGUGUCAGGAAUGAGAGAUAGCCUAUGCCCCAGCCCCUCACUCUCACACUCUUCCAUACACACACACACCUACACAGGAGAUGGUUGGUUUGUCAGAACUCACUGUAAUACACAAGCUUGCACUUCUGCGUCCUAUAUCUAGCAGCAUGGGAUACGUUUGGCAGUUCACCCCAUUAGGGGGUCAAUAAUUUAUGACCAUUCAUCUGUUUUUAUGAAUUUUUUUAUCUAGACAAUAAUUGUAAAUAAAGAAUUCACCGUCUCUGCUCAUUUAAU